rnacentral:rRNA from 1 species
UGGUUGUACAUUCGGGAGUGAGGUUAAGCCAUGCAUGUGUAAGUUGACUGUUGUAGACUGCGGAUAGCUCAAUAUAAUGACUAGAAUCUUUGUAACAAACAUUUAUGGAAUAUAGGCGGAAACUCUGCCGGUAAUCCUAGAAAAAUCAACCGAAGGCAAAGUAUUUGUAUGAAUGGAAUGAAAGUUUUCCAAACUUGUUGCGCUACGGGUCAUCCUAUCAGUUGAGCACAUUAGGGUAGUGUCUUAAGGUGGCUAUCACGGGUGACGGGGAAUGAGGGUUUGAUUCCGGAGAGGGAGCCUGAGAGAUCGCUGCCACAUCUAAGGAUGGCAGCAGGCGCGAAAAUUACCCAGUUUCAAAUGGAAGAGGUAGUAAAUUCCCGGAGUGACCAGAUAAUUAUCUGCGAUCACAAAGUUAAGACUUCAAAAAUUUUAACUAUAUUUU